rnacentral:rRNA from 1 species
GACGAACGCUGGCGGCGUGCUUAACACAUGCAAGUCGAACGGUAAGGCCUUGCUUUCGAGGGGUGUUAGUGUCGCGCGGGUGUGUGAUACGUGUGUGUCCUACCUUUAUGUCUUUGGUAUACCUUCGAGACUCUGGGGAAUACCGCAUACAGCCAAUCUCCCCGCGUGGUGGUGGUUGGAAGGUUUCGGUGGUUGGGGAUGGUGUCCCGGCUUAUCAGCAUGUUGGUGGGGUAGUGGCUUACCAAGGCGUCGACGGGUAGCCGGCCUGAGAGGGUGACCGGCCACACUGGGACUGAGAUACGGCCCAGACUCCUACGGGAGGCAGCAGUGGGGAAUAUUGCACAAUGGGCGGAAGCCUGAUGCAGCGACGCCGCGUGCGGGAUGACGGCCUUCGGGUUGUAAACCUCUGUUAGCAGGGACGAAGCGAGAUUGACGGUAAUUGGAGAGAAAGCGCCGGCUAACUACGUG